rnacentral:rRNA from 1 species
CUACCAGCACCCCGAGUGGUCGGGACGAUUAUUGGGCCUAAAGCAUCCGUAGCCGGUUCUACAAGUCUUCCGUUAAAUCCAUCUGCUUAACAGAUGGGCUGCGGAGGAUACUAUGGAGCUAGGAGGCGGGAGAGGCAAGCGGUACUUAGUGGGUAGGGGUAAAAUCCGUUGAUCCACUGAAGACCACCAGUGGCGAAGGCGGCUUGCCAGAACGCGCUCGACGGUGAGGGAUGAAAGCUGGGGGAGCAAACCGGAUUAGAUACCCGGGUAGUCCCAGCUGUAAACGAUGCAGACUCGGUGAUGAAUAGGCUUCGUGCCUUUUCAGUGCCGCAGGGAAGCCUUUAAGUCUGCCGCCUGGGGAGUACGGUCGCAAGACUGAAACUUAAAUGAAUUGGCGGGG